AACAUGCGAUGGGGGUGGGACUGAGAGCAGGGCCUCCCCAGAAGAUCUUAACAAUCACAUCGGAUCAUAAAGGGAGAUGCGUUCAGACAGGUAAGCUGGACUGGAACUGUUAAGGGUUUUAUAGGCUAAAGCUAGCCCUUUGAGUUGUGCUCAGAAGCUAAUUGGCAGCCAGUGGAGUUGACAUAACAGGGGCAUUGUAUGUUCGUUGUACACCACUCUGGUUGAUCUGUUGGACUACUUGAAGCUUCCAAACAGUUUUCAGAGGCAACCUUACAUAGUUGCAGUAGUCUAUGCAAGAUGUAACCAGAGCAUGGACCACUGGCCAAGACUGACUUCCCAAGGUUCGGGCACAACUGGCGCACAAGAUUUAAUUGUGUGAAGGUUCCCUUGGCCACCGCUGAAACCUGGGGUUCCAGGCUCAGCAGUGAAUCCAGGAGAACUCAUAAGCUGCGAAUCUGCGCCUGCAAUGGGGAGUGCAACCCCAUCCAGCACAGGCUGUAACCCUAUAUCUUCUUCGGCCUUAUGACUGACCAGGAGUACUUCUCUUCAGCGUAUUAUGAAAGAAAAAACCUCAGAAGUUUACAAAUGUUUGUAUAGUGGAGAAUAAAGGUGACAUAACAUCUAUAUAACAUCUUAAGUAGCAUUCAAUAAAAUUAUAUUUGUUUUUAAAGAUAAGCAUGGCUAUACUAUGCUUGCUUCAGUGUAAUAGUAAAGUUGAACGAAGAGCCUAAAAUAAGAUCCAUAUAUACAGAGACAGGUGUAGAUCUUGGUAGCAACAUUACACUUGGGAAAGUGUGGAUAUAUGAGAUGGGAUCUUCACAGGUGGUAAUUCGUAUUUUGAUCACCAUGUUAGGAUCAUAACGUGAACCCUCUAAAUAAGUGGAAACUUGGUUGAUGGAUCUGCUUUUGCUGUUCAGAAGGAAAUAGAAGUGGUGAAGAUUUUCAGCUGGAAGCCUGGGAAAGUGUUUCUAGAUCUGAUGAGAAGGGUAGGAGAGAAGGCGACAGACACUUUCAGUGAUGCUGAAUCCUUUGAAGAUUUGGAGAUAGACAGUGAAGAGUAUUGGGAAUCGGAUGGUGAAGAUAGCAGUGUGCCCACCACCAGUACAACUUCUCCUGAGAUGAAAGUUACACCCCAGCAUGAGAAAGAGGACUGGGAUGCAGAGGUGGCAGAUACUGAAAACCGAAACAAUCCUUAUGAUUUUGAUGAUAUUAUUCACUGUGGAGAUUGCUCGGCUAAGGAUCAAGCAGCACCGUAUUCAGUUCAAGGACAUCUUUUGUAUGACCCCAGCUUACACCAUGUAGCACCACUGACUUUGAAACACAUAGAGGCUGUGUUGGUGGAUGGCCAGUUUGAUGAUGCUGUUGACUGAGAAGUAUUCAGGACUGGAAUAUCAACAACAAGACUGGUAAGCAUAGGCAUAAAAAAUGCUAAGAAGAACCACAUAUAGAAAGCCACGCAUAGCCUAAAUGUAGCACAAAUCAGAUAUUGAACCAUAAGUUACAAUUAUAGUAUUGGAAUGUUAUUAAGAUUACACAACACAACAGAUUUCUUGCAUAAUGGCAUUUUGGUGUUUUUAAAAAAGUACCUUUCAGGGACUGAGAUAUUGGGUAAUUACAAAACAUUCAUUUUAAGCAUGCAGAAUGUAAUCAUGCAAAAUUAUUUCCAAAAAAAUAAUUUGUGGGCUGGGACUUAUUUCUGCUAAGUAAUUAUAACAUUACUAGUGUUUCCCGGGUUCACAUUUUCUUUGUGUCUCUUUCUUUCUUUCCUUCCUCCCUGUCCCUCAUACACUUUCUCCCUUUCUCUUUUCUUGCUUUUAUUUUCUUCCUUCCUUCCUCUUCCCUUAUUUUGUUUCUUCUUUUCUGUUCUUUUUCUUCAUGGCUCUUUCUUUCCAAUUUAACUGCCAUGGUUCCAUCCUAAGGAACCUUGGGUUUUGCUGUUCAGGAAGGGGCCUUUGGAAUCCCCAGCCAGUAAACUUCAGGGCCUCUGAUCCAACUACAAUCCCCAAGUUUCCAUAGGAUGUUGUCAUGGCAGUUAAAGGAGAACAGGGUGCUAUAAUUGGGAUAGUGUGAAUGGGCACCUGGUAUUCUAACUUUCUUAUUAAUCGGUAUUGACUUUUCCUCAUAUUUAGAACUUAUUUUUAGAAAUAGAUUUAUAUUUAGUAUAUGUUUGUAUCAUAUUCAGGUUGUCUGCAGGAUCCCUCUUUAUUAACACUUGUGUUUAUGUUUGUUCUCAACACUGGAGCCGAAAUAUUACUUCUAAAUUGGAUUUCUUCAUGAAAACGAUCUAAGAUGCAACAGAUACCAUUUCCUACUCUGUAGGCUUUGUAUUUGAGAAGAUUGAAUGACAUAUAACAUUAUAAACUGGACUGCUGGAAGUUUAGGCAAGGAGAUAGAUGACAAUUUCUAAUUUAAGUUGUCUUAGAAAUGGUUUGGGUUUAUUUUAAAGUUAUGAAUGUGAUUAUUGCAAUUCAGAAGCUGAUCAUUAUGUUCGCCUGUAAAUCAUGCAAUGUUAUUUUUUAUUUUUAAAAAAUUGUGUUGUUGUAUAUUUUUCUGUUACAAAUUCUGCAUCAUCAUUUGUGCAGUUCAGUUUCUUGAAUGUAUUUAUUUAUUUGAAGCUGGGGCCCUCAACCAUGCUGGAGACAUAGAUCUUGGUGGGGUGACUCCUGAAUAAAACAGGCUGUGUAAUGGUUUAGGCAUUGUGCGUGUGUGUGUUUCAUUUAUUGUGUACUCUGGGAGCCUUCCUAGAUUUAUUUAUUUUUACCCCACCUCUUUACCAUUAAAGGGACUCAAGGUGGAUAACAAUAAAUAUGACACACUGAAAAUUAAAACAAUGUAUAUGCAUUAAAAUAUAGAUAUACAUAUUUGUGUAUGAUUAAACAUUACACAUUAAAAUAUUUAAAUGCAUUAAAACUCCAUACCCAUCCCAAAAUCCCAAUCACACAUUUUCAAAAGCCCAUUUCUCAUGAGUUGAUAAUGCCUAUUUGCAGAGAAACAGUCUCAUGUGUGUACAAACAGAGACAUGUGACUACAUUAUGAGUGCAUCUGUUUGAUACAGUAGAUACCUAACCCUUGAUUGAGUAUGUUCACUUUCAACUGACUGAUUUAUAUCAUUAACUGUCUGGAUUUACAGACUCCAAAUCCAUGAUUUCCACUGACUAUAGGUUGUUAAAUGCUAUACAUGAAAUGGUGACGAUCAGGGCCGGUUCAAGGCUAUACGCAACUACGCGGCCGCCGGUGGCACUGUUGUCCCAAGGCGCCAGAGGCGCCUGUGCGUGAGCAUGCGCACGCGCGCACCCUGCCUCCUCCUUCCAGCCAAGGUUUCAAUCGGAAACCCCACACCAACAUUCACGCACAGCACCAUCGCCCAAAAGCGCCCUCCCUCUUCUCCCUCCCUCCUUCCUCUUUUACCUGGUCUCCCUUUCUGCCUUGAAGCCAGGCUUUGAGGCUGCGGAGGGGCGGGGGCGGGGCCUAAGGGCACGGAGGGCACGCACCUCCCAGGAGACCACGCCCCCUGCUUCCGAAGGAGUGCCUUGGAAGUGCCCUUCGGCCCCGCCCCCUCUGCAGCCUGCGCGUGGCCUGAUCAAGAUGGCGGUUCCCAUGGGCUGUCUGGCCAUGUUCCAAAAGCAUUCUCUCCUGACGUUUUGCCUGCAUCUAUGGCAGGCACCCUCAGUGGUUGCAAGGUCUGUUGGAAACAAAGCAAGUGGGGUUUAUAUAUCUGUGGAAUGUUCAGGGUGGGGAAAAGAACUCUUGUCUGAGGCAUGUGUGAAUGUUGCAAAUGGCCACCGUUAUUAGCAUUAAAUAUCCUUGCAGCUUCAAAGCCUGGCUGCUUUUUGCCUGGGGUAAUCCUUUGUUGGGAGGUGUUAGCUUGCCCUGAUUGAGGAUCCCCUGGUGCCCUCCCUCUUCUUCCCUCCCUCCCUCUCUCCUUCUUCUCCCUCCUCUGCCUUUCUGGCCUUCUUUCUUCCUCUUUCCCCUUCCUUCCUUCCUUCCUUCCUUCUUUCUUCCCUCCCUUCCUCCCUCCUUUCUUCCUCAUCUCCUUUCUACGUUUUUCCAGUCUCUCUGCUGAGUUUAUAGCUAUAUUCCAGAAGCAUUCUCUUCUGAUGUUUCGCCUGCCUCUAUGGCAGGCACCCUCAGUGGUUGCGAGGUCUGUUGGAAACAAAGCAAGUGGGGUUUAUAUAUCUGUGGGGAAAAGGGUGGGGAAAAGAACUGUUGUCUGAGGCACGUGUGAAUGUUGCAAAUGGCCACCGUUAUUAGCAUUAAAUAUCCUUGCAGCUUCAAAGCCUGGCUGCUUUUUGCCUGGGGUAAUCCUUUGUUGGGAGGUGUUAGCUUGCCCUGAUUGAGGAUCCCCCUCUUCUUCCUCCCUCCCUCCCUCUCUCCCUCCUUCUCUCAGUUGUUGUGAGGUCUCUUGGAAAUUAGGCAAAUGGGGUUUAUGUAUCUGUGGAAGGUUCAGGGUGGGGAAAAGAACUCUUGUCUG
ensembl:lncRNA